CCCAAUUCUAGUUAAUGUGUUUCUGGUAUCCUAGGAACUGGUGGUCUCUGAGCAAUCGGACAUUAGCUUCAAUCUUAAAUCUAUUCUCCAAGAGACAGUUAAUUAGAUCAUUCCCCUCCAUUCAUUGAUCUGGUCAGUAUUACUGGGGUUCAUUAAAAAGGGGAAGCAAAGUCUGCAUUUUGGGGACAGUGACCUCACCUUUUGGGUGGCUGUGAUGUCCUUUCUCCUCAUCACACACACUCUGUCCAUUGAAGCAGGUCCCCAAAAGAAGAAAGAAGGCACCCCAAUGUUUCAUGGUGAUCCCCUUGUGCACAGUGCUCCUGCCUCAGGCUUGUCCACACUGAGCGUCCACUCUGCUCUCAGAUAUUCAUUGAAAUCUAGGUUUUCGUUGUUUCUUGGGACUUUGUGCUUUAAUUAUCUAAGUUGAGUUUCUCGCUAUCUUUACGGGUAAACGAGGUGACAUUAAAUGUGUGAAUGCAAACUACACUCACUCCAGGUCUAGAGCUUACAUGGACCUCUCCCCCUCUCUCCUCCCUCCUGCCUUAUCCUGCACGUCGCCCCUUGCUUUCAGUGUCAAGCUCUCAUGGAUGUGAGACUUUACUAUGGGCAGAACAGAGUGAAUGCACGGCUAUUUAUCACUGCACAUGGGUGUGUGUGAGAAAGGAGAGACCGUGUCACUAUGUUUAGAGAGUUAUACAAACUAAGGACUUCUCUCUGACGUAUUCGCUGAAGGACAAACUGGACAUAGGCAGAUAAAUCAAAGUCAAAGGCUAGGAGAUGGUAUAAAGAUUGUACAACUGCCCACAGAGAG